rnacentral:rRNA from 1 species
GGUCAGGUAGAGAAUACCGAGGCGUUCGGGUGAACUAUGGUUAAGGAACUCGGCAAAAUGCCCCCGUAACUUCGGGAGAAGGGGGGCCAUCACUGGUGAUUGGAUUUACUCCAUGAGCUGGGGGUGGCCGCAGAGACCAGCGAGAAGCGACUGUUUACUAAAAACACAGGUCCGUGCGAAGCCGUAAGGCGAUGUAUACGGACUGACGCCUGCCCGGUGCUGGAACGUUAAGGGGACCGGUUAGUCACAUUUCGGUGUGGCGAAGCUGAGAACUUAAGCGCCAGUAAACGGCGGUGGUAACUAUAACCAUCCUAAGGUAGCGAAAUUCCUUGUCGGGUAAGUUCCGACCUGCACGAAUGGCGUAACGACUUCUCGACUGUCUCAACCAUAGGCCCGGUGAAAUUGCACUACGAGUAAAGAUGCUCGUUUCGCGCAGCAGGACGGAAAGACCCCGGGACCUUUACUACAGUUUGAUAUUGGUGUUCGGUUCGGCUUGUGUAGGAUAGCUGGGAGACUGUGAAGCUUGGACGCCAGUUCAGGUGGAGUCGUCGUUGAAAUACCAGUCUGGUCGUGCUGGAUGUCUAACCUGGGUCCGUGAUCCGGAUCAGGGACAGUGUCUGAUGGGUAGUUUAACUGGGGCGGUUGCCUCCUAAAGAGUAACGGAGGCGCCCAAAGGUUCCCUCAGCCUGGUUGGCAAUCAGGUGUUGAGUGUAAGUGCACAAGGGAGCUUGACUGUGAGACCGACGGGUCGAGCAGGGACGAAAGUCGGGACUAGUGAUCCGGCGGUGGCUUGUGGAAGCGCCGUCGCUCAACGGAUAAAAGGUACCCCGGGGAUAACAGGCUGAUCUUCCCCAAGAGUCCAUAUCGACGGGAUGGUUUGGCACCUCGAUGUCGGCUCGUCGCAUCCUGGGGCUGGAGUCGGUCCCAAGGGUUGGGCUGUUCGCCCAUUAAAGCGGUACGCGAGCUGGGUUUAGAACGUCGUGAGACAGUUCGGUCCCUAUCCGCUGCGCGCGCAGGAAUAUUGAGAAGGGCUGUCCCUAGUACGAGAGGACCGGGACGGACGAACCUCUGGUGUGCCAGUUGUUCUGCCAAGGGCAUGGCUGGUUGGCUACGUUCGGGAGGGAUAACCGCUGAAAGCAUCUAAGCGGGAAGCCUGCUUCGAGAUGAGUAUUCCCACCCACUUGAUGGGGUAAGGCUCCCAGUAGACGACUGGGUUGAUAGGCCGGAUGUGGAAGCCCAGUAAUGGGUGAAGCUGACUGGUACUAAUAGGCCGAGGGCUUGUCCUCAGUUG